rnacentral:tmRNA from 1 species
GGGGCUGACCAAAGCUUUGACAGAUGGAUUUUAACAGAUCAAUCGGCGAGUUGUUGGUUACAUAAAACCAUUAUAGAUGUAAAAUCUAAACUUCAAGCGAUUGCUGACAGUGUAAGACUUGCUUUUACACCAGCUUACGCAGCUGCUUAAUUUUAGCGGCCAUAUCUCUUUCUGAUGCAGCAUAGGAGAGGGGUGUGUUAUAUUUAUACUGCUUUGUCGUUACAAAAGCUUCGCAUUUUGUGAUGGCGAGACCUUUUGCGGACGAUUUAUUGCUUUUUUGCUAAUUUUAAAUGUAAUAAGUUGUAUUCUAAAAUUAACUAGGCUUCGUAGAUGAUUGAUAGGUUACCAUUUGGACGCGGGGGCAGUACCCGCCAGCUCCACCA